UGGGAAGUAUCUGGUUUUUCCAGAGGGGGUUGUCCCCAGGGCGCUGCGGAGGGGGUAGCUCACCAGCGCCCCUGCAGAUGGCCCCAGGCUCGGCUCUCCCUGGCUCUGGCCAGGCUUGGCAGCCCCUGUGUCCCAACCACCGUGUGACCGCGGACGGAAUGCGUGGCCUUUCUGAGCCUCAGUUUCCCCACGUACACCAGGGAGAUAAUUGCUGCCUUGUCCUCAGCGGUAGUUUUGAGACAAAGAGUGAGACGGGCCUUGGGAGUCCUUUGUGACCUUCAGACGCUGUCGUUUCUCACAGACGUGUACUACAGGGACGUUGGGGGAAGAGUGGGGACGGGGACUGAGGCCCUGUUGUGCGUCCCUUCUCCCUGCACUCCUGGGAGUCUGCACUGUCUCGUUGACCCCACGUUACGCGUGCGGAAACCGAGGCCCAGCAAGGCGCCACUGAGCUCACGAGGUCGGAGCUGUGGAGGGAUACGAGGUCAGACGUGAACGAGCGCCGAGCACCUUCGGUGUUCCUGGAUGGUGCCCAGGCCUGUCCUGCAUGUGUCCGUGCUCCGUAGGAGGGAUGAGUGAACGGAUGCAGCAAAGCCACCUCUAGAAAGACUGAUGUGGGCGCGUGCUCACUGCCCGUGUGGCUAACGGGGAGCCCCGCCCCGUGGUGGGCGGUGGGCCGGAGGUAGCCAGGAAGGCAAGGAACAUGACCCAGAAGCAUCUAGAGCAGGCCCAGGGAGUCCGACCUGUGAUGGAGGGUGUCUCCAGGCUGCAAGGACAUUUGGGCCCCUCUUGGGAUCUCCCCUACACCCCUGCAGCCUCACCAGGAAGUGCCCACUAAUCUCCCGGUGAAAUCAGUUGCCUGACACCUUGCCCAAAGUCACAGAGCACCCCCUCUACUCCCCGGCACGUGUUUGGGAACCGAGGGGACAUUUCUGACAUUCAAACCAAGUUUCAAGCCACCCCCGGUUGGGGGUCUUGGGAGAAAAUGCUCUCUGUUGUUGGUGUAAGCCUCCAGCAGCGGCCCUGGUGUGAGAGGCAUGAAGCGAUCCUUGGAUCCUUGGGCUGAGCCCGAGUCAGUGUCCCCACCAAGAGGACGCUUUCUCCACUGCAGCUUCCGGGGAGCACUGGCAACAAAGAGACAUUGGAAACAGCUGUGUGCUGGUGGGUGGGCUUUUCAAUUCCGUGAGUGGACGGGGAGCAGGGAGCGAGGAGGCCGCUGUCCUGGUGAAUCUCAGCUGGCUGCUCUGGCGUGAGCUGCCCCAGGGAGAGGACCACAUGGCAGGGAACCAAGGCCCUCAGUUCAACAGCUCCUGAGGAACUGAAUCCAGCCGACAGCCACUGACUGAGCCUCGAGAUGGGUGCAGCCCUGACGGACCCCUCAACUGCAGCCUGCGGGAGACUCAGUCUUGGAGGCCCCUGGCCAAGCUGCAUUCAGGUUCCAGUCUAAGAAAACGUGACAGGUCACUGAUGUUCUUUUAAACCAAGAAGUUUGGGGAUUAUUUGUUAUGCAGCAGUAGAUGACCAACACACGUAUUUACUUUAAAGGGCCUCAGAAAAAAAGCGAGCCCUUACAGGGAAAGAGAUAUGGCGGAGGGAGAAGCUGGAGAGGUUGGAAGCAUCUGGCUGCCUUUUGAAGAGUCUCACUGGAAGCACGAGAGAGGUUCAGUGCGCCCUUGCUGGCUUUGAUGACGGACGGGGCCGCGAGGGAAGGAAUGUGGUGGUCUCUAGGAGCUGAGAAUGACCCCUGGUCGACAUCCAGCAAGAAACAGAGACCGCAGCCCUAGCCAGCCCAUGAGUGAGCCUGGCCCUGACAACUUGACUUUGGCCUUGUGAGGCCCUGAUGUGAGGACCCAGUCUAGCCGCUGGACUUCUGACCCCCGGGACUGAGAGAUGAU